rnacentral:lncRNA from 1 species
UUAAAAGUUAGUUAUAAUUUGUGUUUCUUUAAUUUAAUCUCAACCAUUAAAUUGAGAUUAAUCAAAGGUCCGUAUUAGUGAUCCAUCUGGCUACCAUUUCAUCAAGCAAUAAAUAAAAAAUUAAAAAAUAUAAUAGAGGAAAUAGGAUUUCCUCCUUUAAUUGAGGGACACGCGUCAAAUGGAAUGGAUAGGUUUUGUGUGCAAAGAAAAAACAAAAUUUGAGAUUCCCUUGGUUAGGUUUUGUCUCUAACGGUAAAAAAAACGAAAUAGAAAAGAAUUGCCCUUCCACUCACGAUGGCGUUGAUUGAUCCUCAUUCCUUAAACACUCACAGGAAUUGAGAGUCUUGCUUCCCGAAACUCUCGUUCCUCC